rnacentral:rRNA from 1 species
UACAGAGGUCUCAAGCGUUGUUCGGAUUCAUUGGGCGUAAAGGGUGCGUAGGCGGCGCGGUAAGUCGGGUGUGAAAUCUCGGAGCUUAACUCCGAAACUGCAUUCGAUACUGCGUGCUUGAGGACUGGAGAGGAGACUGGAAUUUACGGUGUAGCGGUGAAAUGCGUAGAUAUCGUAAGGAAGACCAGUGGCGAAGGCGGGUCUCUGGACAGUUCCUGACGCUGAGGCACGAAGGCCAGGGGAGCAAACGGG